rnacentral:lncRNA from 1 species
UAUACUCCUUCUGAUGAGGUUGUCUUGUGUGAGUCAUGCUUCAUUUAAGGCAACCCAACUGAAACAGAUCACUUUAGGAGGUAGUUUUGUUCUCCAAAUUAGUUUCCAUGGCCAAUUGUUUAUCAGAUCAUUGUUGGAGCAUAGGUGUGCAUAUGCUUUCUUCACUGUAAAUUUCCCGUCCCCCAUUCCAGUUUAUCCUUCAGCUGGGGUUUGACAGCAAUCUAUGCUAGUUUGGCCAGCAGUUCCAUUAGGUCAUUUAUCUCCCAAUCUUGAGAAUGUCCCUGAAUUGAGGGUCCCAAGAGUUGUUCUACAG